rnacentral:lncRNA from 1 species
AUAAUUUUGUGUCUUGAUAAGGUAGGAAUAUGGCUGGGACCAUCCCUGACUCUCUUUUUUCCUUGAAUGUGAACACAUGAGUGAAGCAUACAUCCAUUGUCCAUGGAGCAAGAAACAUGAGGAUGAAAAGCCAAUAUGUUAAGGAUGUGAAGUGAAAAGCGGGAAGAGCUUCUUAUUCAUGUUAUCACUGAGCAGCGGGAACUGGGGGCUCUGCUCAUUAUAGUUGCCUACGGCCUCCAGCCAUUGAAAUCUCUGGCCAAUGAAAUGCUCUACUGUGACUGAAGCAGCAAAGGCAAGAUGUUCUGCUGGAGGCCUCUCCAGAUUGUGAUGCACUGGGAGCAAGCGACCAUGACCAUGUUCUCAGGUCUCCAGUCUUCUGCCAUUGCAUGAUAAAUGGAGCUUGUCAAACACGGAGCAGAGCUGAAAUUUCUGAAUUCCACAGGACUGUUCAGAGUGCUUGAAAUGACACCUACCCACAAUUAAAACAAAAAAGAAGGAUGAUCUGCUGCUGCAUUUGUGUGGAAAGUGCUGUUUGCCGAUAGGGAAGUAGGAGAGGAAAUAAGGAAAACAAUAAACCAAGUACAGUUUUGCAAAUACCCAGACACAUUGGAUGGACACAGAAGCUUUCACUGGGAGAUUAUGAAGGGUAGAUGCUUUGUGUCUCCAUUGCCUCCUGUGUCUCCAUUGUGUCUCCAUUGCCUCCUGUGAUGU